rnacentral:rRNA from 1 species
AGAGUUUGAUCCUGGCUCAGAACGAACGCUGGCGGCGUGCUUAACACAUGCAAGUCGCGUGCGCAGUUGCCGUAGCAAUACGGUGAUGGGCGCACGGCGCACGGGUGCGUAACACGUGGGCAAUCUGCCCUUUGAUGGGGAAUAACCCGCCGAAAGGCGGGCUAAUUCCGCAUAAGAUUCUUUGGACUUCGGUCUGGAGAUUGAAAGCAGCAAUGCGUCGAAGGAGGAGCCCGCGCCCGAUUAGCUAGUUGGUGAGGUAACGGCUCACCAAGGCUAUGAUCGGUAGCUGGUCUGAGAGGAUGAUCAGCCACACUGGAACUGAGACACGGUCCAGACUCCUACGGGAGGCAGCAGUGGGGAAUCUUGCACAAUGGGCGAAAGCCUGAUGCAGCGACGCCGCGUGGGGGAUGAAGCAUUUCGGUGUGUAAACCCCUUUCGACUGGGAAGAAUACCUCGCAAGAGGGGUGACGGUACCAGUAGAAGAAGCCCCGGCUAACUACGUGCCAGCAGCCGCGGUAAGACGUAGGGGGCCAGCGUUGUUCGGAAUUACUGGGUGUAAAGGGUUCGUAGGCGGUGCGGCAAGUUGGGAGUGAAAUCUCUGGGCUUAACCCAGAGGCUGCUUCCAAAACUGCUGUGCUCGAGUGUGAGAGAGGCUCGUGGAAUUGCAGGUGUAGCGGUGAAAUGCGUAGAUAUCUGCAGGAACACCCGUGGCGAAAGCGGCGAGCUGGAUCACUACUGACGCUGAGGAACGAAAGCUAGGGGAGCAAACAGGAUUAGAUACCCUAGUAGUCC